rnacentral:lncRNA from 1 species
CUUCCCCAAAAGGUCAAUGAUUUCUUCAACCCUCCCCCUCCACUCCACGUAAUAAAUUUUGGAGUUCAAAACCAAUGCACUUUGCAUCCUCAGCCUGACAUCUUCUGUGCUACUUAUGGGUCCACAUUUCAGAGAAAUGGUGCAAAACAGCAGCUGCCUUCCUGCACCAGGCCCGGGGUGGGGGCUGGAACCUCAGGUGGUGCUGAGUCCCCAAAAUCAGUUUUUCUGGGGGGGGAUUUAGGGAAUUAGUGAUACUUUGGAGUGAGCUGCAGCAGGAUGGGGGUAACAGGGGCGACCAAAGGGCUUCGAAGGGAAGGUGAAGAGUGAGCAAGAAAAGGGUCUGGGAAAGCCAAGGAGCUGCUGCCAGAACCUGGGGGGCCGCCCCCCCCCCCCUCCCAACACAACCCACUUUCCCUGGAAUGCAGUUCUUUACACAUCUUUCAGCCCCAUUUCCCCCCUUUCCACCCCUCUGCCAAGAGAGGUAGCAGCACCCAUCCACCCCCACUGCACCCCAACCAUCCCCAAACAACCCCCCCUUGCAUUCAGUCCCACCCUAUUUCGGUGGAAAAAGGAAGAGGGGAAGAAGGCAUAGUGCAGGCGGUGCAGCCGCCCCUACCUGCGUGCAGUGCCAGGAGCCAGGCGGCGGGCAGCAGGCGCGGGGUGCCCACAGCUCCCCACAUCUCGGGCCGGCUGCAGGGCCCCACUCUGCGUUGCAGCCCCGCUCCGGGCACGUCCCUCCGUGCUGCUGGCCACAAGCCCGGGCAAUUUUUUUCCCUUUUUUUAUUUGUCCCUCGCUCUCUCAAUAGAGCCCUGUGUGUUUCUCCUCCCCAGCAGCCCGAGCUGACACUUGCUUGGGGAGAAAUCACCCAGAUUUGCAAUUUUCCACCCUGUUUCCAUGGGAUGGCUGCAAUGUCCCGUGGGGUUUGGGGAGCUGCGUUCCAGCUCCAGUGCCAAUUAGUUCCCGGCACGGCUCAAUGGGGCAGCGGGAGCGGGGCAGGCUGCCCGGAGCUGCGUCCCACAGGGCGCUGCCAACUCAUCACACCACCGCGCUGAGCUGCCCCGGGCUGCCUGCGUGGCUCAGAAUGCACGCGAGGAUGCUCAGAGGUGUUUGGGGGUGUUUGGGGGGGCGCUGGGGGGCUUUGGGGGCACACCGGAGGAUGCUCAGCGAUUUUGGGGGAAUUGUUUGGGGGGAGUGCUUGGAGGUUUUUAGGGAAGUGAUUUGGGGGGACUUUCGGGGAUUGGAGGGAGAUGCUGGCGAAUGAUUGGAGGUGAGAUGCUGUGGGGGGUCUUUCAGAGGAAGGUUUGGGAGGUGGUUUGGGGAGUGCUAACGGGCAGCUCCAGGGUGCUCAGAAGGGCUUCCUGGGGGGGUGCUCUGGGACGGGCCAGGGAAUGAUUUUGGGCUGCUCUGGGGGAUGUUUCAGUGGGAUGCUUCAGGGGUGCUUCAGAGAUGCUUGGAGGGAUGUUUUGUGGGGUGUUUUGGGGAUGCCUGGGGGGAUUUAUGGGGGUGAUGCUCCCCAGUAAAUGACAUCUUCAGGGUUUAGAUUGCAUUUUCAGGAUGCUCUGUGGGACGUUUCAGGGAGAUGCUCUGGAGGCUGUUUGUGGGAUGCCCAGGGGUUGUUUCAGAGGGAUGAGCUGGAGGAUGCUUUAGGGAUGCUCUGGGGAUGCUUGAGGGGGGAAGCCCUCGGGGGCGCUCGCAGGAUGCCCCGGGGAUUGCGGGGGUGAUGCUCUGUGAGGACUCUUCGGGGCUGUGCUCUGGGCUGUCUCGAGGAUGCUCUGGGGACGCUUUAGGGGUGCUCAGGGAUGUUUCAGGACAACGUUCCGGAGGCUCCCAGGGCACGGACCUCCUCCACACCAUUUCCCCCCCCCCGCCCCCAUCAUCCCUUCCGCCCGCAGCGGGACGCGAACCGGGGACG